AGCCAUAGUAGCUGCCCAGGAUGCGCUUGUACUCCUCGUGUGCGCUGAACUGGAUGGCGGCGUAGGGCACCACGCGCACCAUGGUGGCCGAAUUCCCGCGCCACAAGCUGAGAAAGCCCUCGUUGAGGUUCUCUUGGGGACUGCAAAGCCAACCGGACUGCAAAGCGAACCGGACUGCAAAGCGAACCAGACUGCAAAGCGAACCAGGCUGCAAAGCAGCUCGGAGCCCUGCCCAAGGGCAUGUCUGUUGGUGUUUGGCAUUCUAGCUUGUACAGUUCAUCUUUUUCUUUAUUAAGAAGGUAGCACCUGCUCUCUGUUUAACGAUAAAUCAAACAUGAAAA